rnacentral:rRNA from 1 species
AUUGAACGCUGGCGGCAUGCCUUACACAUGCAAGUCGAACGGCAGCACGGGUGCUUGCACCUGGUGGCGAGUGGCGAACGGGUGAGUAAUAUAUCGGAACGUACCUUAUUGUGGGGGAUAACGCAGCGAAAGCUGUGCUAAUACCGCAUAAUCCCUAAGGGGGAAAGCGGGGGACCGUAAGGCCUCGCGCAAUUAGAGCGGCCGAUGGCUGAUUAGCUAGUUGGUGAGGUAAAGGCCCACCAAGGCAACGAUCAGUAGCAGGUCUGAGAGGAUGAUCUGCCACACUGGAACUGAGAAACGGUCCGGACUCCUACGGGAGGCAGCAGUGGGGAAUUUUGGACAAUGGGCGCAAGCCUGAUCCAGCAAUGCCGCGUGCAGGAAGAAGGCCUUCGGGUUGUAAACUGCUUUUGUACGGAGCGAAAAGGCUCUCUCUAAUACAGGGGGCUCAUGACGGUACCGUAAGAAUAAGCACCGGCUAACUACGUGCCAGCCGCCGCGGUAA